rnacentral:rRNA from 1 species
AUGAACGCUAGCUACAGGCUUAACACAUGCAAGUCGAGGGGCAGCAUGGUCUUAGCUUGCUAAGGCCGAUGGCGACCGGCGCACGGGUGAGUAACACGUAUCCAACCUGCCGUCUACUCUUGGACAGCCUUCUGAAAGGAAGAUUAAUACAAGAUGGCAUCAUGAGUCCGCAUGUUCACAUGAUUAAAGGUAUUCCGGUAGACGAUGGGGAUGCGUUCCAUUAGAUAGUAGGCGGGGUAACGGCCCACCUAGUCUUCGAUGGAUAGGGGUUCUGAGAGGAAGGUCCCCCACAUUGGAACUGAGACACGGUCCAAACUCCUACGGGAGGCAGCAGUGAGGAAUAUUGGUCAAUGGGCGCAGGCCUGAACCAGCCAAGUAGCGUGAAGGAUGACUGCCCUAUGGGUUGUAAACUUCUUUUAUAAAGGAAUAAAGUCGGGUAUGGAUACCCGUUUGCAUGUACUUUAUGAAUAAGGAUCGGCUAACUCCGUGCCAGCAGCCGCGGUAAUACGGAGGAUCCGAGCGUUAUCCGGAUUUAUUGGGUUUAAAGGGAGCGUAGAUGGAUGUUUAAGUCAGUUGUGAAAGUUUGCGGCUCAACCGUAAAAUUGCAGUUGAUACUGGAUAUCUUGAGUGCAGUUGAGGCAGGCGGAAUUCGUGGUGUAGCGGUGAAAUGCUUAGAUAUCACGAAGAACUCCGAUUGCGAAGGCAGCCUGCUAAGCUGCAACUGACAUUGAGGCUCGAAAGUGUGGGUAUCAAACAGGAUUAGAUACCCUGGUAGUCCACACGGUAAACGAUGAAUACUCGCUGUUUGCGAUAUACGGCAAGCGGCCAAGCGAAAGCGUUAAGUAUUCCACCUGGGGAGUACGCCGGCAACGGUGAAACUCAAAGGAAUUGACGGGGGCCCGCACAAGCAGUGGAGUAUGUGGUUUAAUUCGAAGCAACGCGAAGAACCUUACCAAGGCUUGACAUAUACAGGAAUAUUUAAGAGAUUAAAUAGCUCUUCGGAGUCUGUAUACAGGUGCUGCAUGGUUGUCGUCAGCUCGUGCCGUGAGGUGUCGGCUUAAGUGCCAUAACGAGCGCAACCCUUGUUGUCAGUUACUAACAGGUUUCGCUGAGGACUCUGACAAGACUGCCAUCGUAAGAUGUGAGGAAGGUGGGGAUGACGUCAAAUCAGCACGGCCCUUACGUCCGGGGCUACACACGUGUUACAAUGGGGGGUACAGAGGGCCGCUACCACGCGAGUGGAUGCCAAUCCCAAAAACCUCUCUCAGUUCGGACUGGAGUCUGCAACCCGACUCCACGAAGCUGGAUUCGCUAGUAAUCGCGCAUCAGCCACGGCGCGGUGAAUACGUUCCCGGGCCUUGUACACACCGCCCGUCAAGCCAUGGGAGCCGGGGGUACCUGAAGUGCGUAACCGCGAGGAGCGCCCUAGGGUAAAACUGGUGACUGGGGCU